rnacentral:hammerhead_ribozyme from 1 species
GCACUGCUAAAGAGUCCCACAAUAGGACGAAAUGGAUAUCCAGUGC